GGUAGAGUAACGCGUGAGUAACCUGCCUUACACAAGGGGAUAGCCUCUGGAAACGGAGAAUAAUACCCUAUGAAACUAUCUUACCGCAUGAAAAGAUAGUCAAAGUGUUUUAGCGGUGUAAGAUGGACUUGCGUCUGAUUAGCUAGUUGGUGAGAUAACAGCCCACCAAGGCAACGAUCAGUAGCCGGCUUGAGAGAGUGUACGGCCACAUUGGGACUGAGACACGGCCCAG
rnacentral:rRNA from 1 species